GAUGAACGCUGGCGGCGUGCCUAAUACAUGCAAGUCGAGCGAACAGACGAGGAGCUUGCUCCUCUGACGUUAGCGGCGGACGGGUGAGUAACACGUGGAUAACCUACCUAUAAGACUGGGAUAACUUCGGGAAACCGGAGCUAAUACCGGAUAAUAUAUUGAACCGCAUGGUUCAAUAGUGAAAGACGGUUUUGCUGUCACUUAUAGAUGGAUCCGCGCCGCAUUAGCUAGUUGGUAAGGUAACGGCUUACCAAGGCAACGAUGCGUAGCCGACCUGAGAGGGUGAUAGGCCGCCUUGGAACUGGGCCAGGGUCCAGACUCCUACGGGAGGCAGCAGUAGGGAAUGUUACGCAAUGGGCGAGAGCCUGACGGAGCAACGCCGCGUGAGUGAUGAAGGUCUUCGGAUCGUAAAGCUCUGUUAUUAGGGAAGAACAAAUGUGUAAGUAAAUAUGCACGUCUUGACGGUACCUAGUCAGAAAGCCCCGGCUAACUACGUG
rnacentral:rRNA from 1 species